GACAGAGGUGCCGAGCGUUAGGCGGAAUCACUGGGCUUAAAGCGCGUGUAGGCGGAUUUGUAAGUACCUUGUGAAAUCCCACGGCUCAACCGUGGAACUGCUUGGUAUACUGCUUAUCUUGGGUCAUCUAGGGGCGAGCGGAACAAACGGUGGAGCGGUGAAAUGCGUAGAUAUCGUUUGGAACGCCAAUGGUGAAAACAGCUCGCUGGGGAUGUACCGACGCUGAGACACGAAAGCCAGGGGAGCGAACGGG
rnacentral:rRNA from 1 species